GGGUUGUGAGGUUAAGCGACUAAGCGUACACGGUGGAUGCCCUGGCAGUCAGAGGCGAUGAAGGACGUGCUAAUCUGCGAAAAGCGUCGGUAAGGUGAUAUGAACCGUUACAGCCGGCGAUGUCCGAAUGGGGAAACCCAGUGCAAUUCGUUGCACUAUCGUUAACUGAAUACAUAGGUUAACGAGGCGAACCGGGGGAACUGAAACAUCUAAGUACCCCGAGGAAAAGAAAUCAACCGAGAUUCCCCCAGUAGCGGCGAGCGAACGGGGAGCAGCCCAGAGUCUGAAUCAGCUUGUGUGUUAGUGGAACGGUCUGGAAAGUCCGACGGUACAGGGUGAUAGUCCCGUACACCAAAAUGCACAGGUUGUGAACUCGAAGAGUAGGGCGGGACACGUGGUAUCCUGUCUGAAUAUGGGGGGACCAUCCUCCAAGGCUAAAUACUCCUGACUGACCGAUAGUGAACCAGUACCGUGAGGGAAAGGCGAAAAGAACCCCGGCGAGGGGAGUGAAAAAGAACCUGAAACCGUGUACGUACAAGCAGUGGGAGCACCUUCGGGUGUGACUGCGUACCUUUUGUAUAAUGGGUCAGCGACUUAUAUUCUGUAGCAAGGUUAACCGUAUAGGGGAGCCGCAGGGAAACCGAGUCUUAACUGGGCGUUAAGUUGCAGGGUAUAGACCCGAAACCCGGUGAUCUAGCCAUGGGCAGGUUGAAGGUUGGGUAACACUAACUGGAGGACCGAACCGACUAAUGUUGAAAAAUUAGCGGAUGACUUGUGGCUGGGGGUGAAAGGCCAAUCAAACCGGGAGAUAGCUGGUUCUCCCCGAAAGCUAUUUAGGUAGCGCCUCGUGAAUUCAUCUUCGGGGGUAGAGCACUGUUUCGGCUAGGGGGUCAUCCCGACUUACCAACCCGAUGCAAACUACGAAUACCGAAGAAUGUUAUCACGGGAGACACACGGCGGGUGCUAACGUCCGUCGUGAAGAGGGAAACAACCCAGACCGCCAGCUAAGGUCCCAAAGUCAUGGUUAAGUGGGAAACGAUGUGGGAAGGCACAGACAGCCAGGAUGUUGGCUUAGAAGCAGCCAUCAUUUAAAGAAAGCGUAAUAGCUCACUGGUCGAGUCGGCCUGCGCGGAAGAUGUAACGGGGCUAAACCAUGCACCGAAGCUGCGGCAGCGACACUAUGUGUUGUUGGGUAGGGGAGCGUUCUGUAAGCCUGCGAAGGUGUGCUGUGAGGCAUGCUGGAGGUAUCAGAAGUGCGAAUGCUGACAUAAGUAACGAUAAAGCGGGUGAAAAGCCCGCUCGCCGGAAGACCAAGGGUUCCUGUCCAACGUUAAUCGGGGCAGGGUGAGUCGACCCCUAAGGCGAGGCCGAAAGGCGUAGUCGAUGGGAAACAGGUUAAUAUUCCUGUACUUGGUGUUACUGCGAAGGGGGGACGGAGAAGGCUAUGUUAGCCGGGCGACGGUUGUCCCGGUUUAAGCAUGUAGGCUGGUUAUCCAGGCAAAUCCGGAUAAUCAAGGCUGAGGUGUGAUGACGAGGCACUACGGUGCUGAAGUAACAAAUGCCCUGCUUCCAGGAAAAGCCUCUAAGCAUCAGGUAACAUCAAAUCGUACCCCAAACCGACACAGGUGGUCAGGUAGAGAAUACCAAGGCGCUUGAGAGAACUCGGGUGAAGGAACUAGGCAAAAUGGUGCCGUAACUUCGGGAGAAGGCACGCUGGUGUGUAGGUGAAGUCCCUGCGGAUGGAGCUGAGACCAGUCGAAGAUACCAGCUGGCUGCAACUGUUUAUUAAAAACACAGCACUGUGCAAACACGAAAGUGGACGUAUACGGUGUGACGCCUGCCCGGUGCCGGAAGGUUAAUUGAUGGGGUUAUCCGUAAGGAGAAGCUCUUGAUCGAAGCCCCGGUAAACGGCGGCCGUAACUAUAACGGUCCUAAGGUAGCGAAAUUCCUUGUCGGGUAAGUUCCGACCUGCACGAAUGGCGUAAUGAUGGCCAGGCUGUCUCCACCCGAGACUCAGUGAAAUUGAACUCGCUGUGAAGAUGCAGUGUACCCGCGGCAAGACGGAAAGACCCCGUGAACCUUUACUAUAGCUUGACACUGAACAUUGAGCCUUGAUGUGUAGGAUAGGUGGGAGGCUUUGAAGCGUGGACGCCAGUCUGCGUGGAGCCAACCUUGAAAUACCACCCUUUAAUGUUUGAUGUUCUAACGUUGGCCCCUUACCGGGGUUGCGGACAGUGUCUGGUGGGUAGUUUGACUGGGGCGGUCUCCUCCCAAAGCGUAACGGAGGAGCACGAAGGUUAGCUAAUCCUGGUCGGACAUCAGGAGGUUAGUGCAAUGGCAUAAGCUAGCUUGACUGCGAGCGUGACGGCGCGAGCAGGUGCGAAAGCAGGUCAUAGUGAUCCGGUGGUUCUGAAUGGAAGGGCCAUCGCUCAACGGAUAAAAGGUACUCCGGGGAUAACAGGCUGAUACCGCCCAAGAGUUCAUAUCGACGGCGGUGUUUGGCACCUCGAUGUCGGCUCAUCACAUCCUGGGGCUGAAGUAGGUCCCAAGGGUAUGGCUGUUCGCCAUUUAAAGUGGUACGCGAGCUGGGUUUAGAACGUCGUGAGACAGUUCGGUCCCUAUCUGCCGUGGGCGCUGGAGAAUUGAGGGGGGCUGCUCCUAGUACGAGAGGACCGGAGUGGACGCAUCACUGGUGUUCGGGUUGUCAUGCCAAUGGCACUGCCCGGUAGCUAAAUGCGGAAGAGAUAAGUGCUGAAAGCAUCUAAGCACGAAACUUGCCCCGAGAUGAGUUCUCCCUGAGACUUUAAGUCUCCUGAAGGAACGUUAAAGACGAUGACGUUGAUAGGCCGGGUGUGUAAGCGCAGCGAUGCGUUGAGCUAACCGGUACUAAUGAACCGUGAGGCUUAACCUUACAACGCCGAAG
rnacentral:rRNA from 1 species